rfam:Epilithonimonas sp. FH1 contig07, whole genome shotgun sequence.
GAAUUGCUAAUGCGUGAGGGAUAGUAGUGGAAAUCCUUUUUUGCGGGGGAAUUGGUGAGGGGAAAAGAUUGCAACGGAUAGCCCGACCCGAG